UACGUAGGGUCCGAGCGUUGUCCGGAAUUAUUGGGCGUAAAGGGCGCGUAGGCGGCUUGUCAAGUCACUUGUGAAAUCUCUGGGCUUAACCCAGAACGGCCAAGUGAAACUGACAUGCUAGAGUGCAGAAGGGGCAAUCGGAAUUCUUGGUGUAGCGGUGAAAUGCGUAGAUAUCAAGAGGAACACCUGAGGUGAAGACGGGUUGCUGGGCUGACACUGACGCUGAGGCGCGAAAGCCAGGGGAGCAAACGGG
rnacentral:rRNA from 1 species